rnacentral:lncRNA from 1 species
GUCACGUUUUGAUGUUUUACUCCGGUCAACCUGUAGAGAAAAGAACGGUGAUCACAGUGGUAUAAAAAUUGCAUCGAACAGAGACCGGAAAGGGCCUCAUCGGAGGUAAAAAUAGAGGAAAGCUGCGGCGGCGCCGUUGGACUUCGGCGGGAUUUUUCAGCCAAUUAGUCGGUGGUUUGGCUCUGGUUUGGCCAUAGGUGGAUUCAGCAUCGAAAAACGAGCCAGGAGGAGAAAAUUUACCUCAAUUGGCGGUCAGAAAAUUCUCCGGUGCGGCGGCGGGUAGCGGCGGCCGGCUCCUCCGACCUCUGGUUCUUCUUCUCCGGCGAGGCACUGGCGGCUAGGGUUUUGUGGUCGGGUGUGGGUGGGGUUAUUUAUACCCUUCCUCUUUUAAUCUCAAUCGUCCAUCAAGUUUUAAUCUGGACCGUCUGAUCGUGAUUUAUUUAGGAUUAAAUCUAGGCCGUCUGUGCCUGAUUGAAUCUGGGUCGUCCGUACGCGUGAAAUCUAGGCCGUCUGUGUGUUCAUUUGAUCUGGGCCAUCCGUUCUUGCGGGAACAAAUCUGGGCCGUCUGAUCGCGCGCACGCGUAUCGCCAAUGUGGCCAGUCCCGUGUCAGCAUUCUUUGCCACGCGGCGUGUCUUGGUUGGUCGGGCCUGCUGACUGGGCUGCUGAUGUGGCUGCUGACAUGG